UGAGGAAUUUUGCACAAUGGGGGAAACCCUGAUGCAGCGACGCCGCGUGAGUGACGAAGGCCUUCGGGUCGUAAAGCUCUGUCAGUAGGGAAGAAAUGUGCGAUGGCUAAUAUCCAUUGUAUUUGACGGUACCUACAAAGGAAGCACCGGCUAACUCCGUGCCAGCAGCCGCGGUAAUACGGAGGGUGCGAGCGUUGUUCGGAUUUACUGGGCGUAAAGGGCGCGUAGGCGGCCUGUCAAGUCAUAUGUGAAAGCCCACGGCUCAACCGUGGAAGUGCAUGUGAAACUGGCAGGCUUGAGUACUGGAGGGGAGUGUGGAAUUCCCGGUGUAGAGGUGAAAUUCGUAGAUAUCGGGAGGAAUACCGGUGGCGAAGGCGACACUCUGGACAGAUACUGACGCUGAGGCGCGAAAGCGUGGGGAGCAAACAGG
rnacentral:rRNA from 1 species